CCGAAAUCUACGCCAGGUGAAAGUUUGCGUCACCUGAUUGAAUAGUUAAGUAGCAAACAAUCACACGCUUCUGUAAGGAUUCUACGAAAUUGUGAACGGAGAUGUAGAUGGAAAAGAAACUUUGAAAUGAAUUGUUAACCACUUGCCAUACUACAAACAACAGAAAGUCAACGACAUCAUUUGAAAGACGUAACCGGUAACGUUAGUUUUCACGUUAGCAGUAACGUGUUAGCUAGCUAAGUUAGCUAGUUGUCCAGUGUUGCUAGCUAAUGACGUAACAUGCUAACUGUUAAGCUAGCAGCGAUACUGUCAACAAACAAACAAAAUGAUUGUCAAAGGAGAAGACUUCUGUCAAUAAACAAACAACAUGAUUGUCAAAGGAGAUUACUUCUGUCAACAAACAAAAUGACUGUCAAAGGAGAAGACGUCUGUCAACAAACAAACAAAAUGACUGUCAAAGCAGCAAAUUGCAGUUGGACAUCAAUGGACAUCUCCAUGAAAUAAAGUGGACAACAAAUGACAAACAUCACAUGGCAGCUUACACUGAAGUUGACAACCGAAACACUUCUGUAAAAGAUGAGACCUGUGCGUGAUGCUGACCAUCCUUCCCCAAAGAUACGGACAUUUCUUCACUUUGGGAAACUAUGGCAAGAAGAAAUCAGCCCCAGCAGCACAGCGUUUUGGGGAAUAGUUGGGAACGAUCGGUCAUCGAUCUGGAGCUGAAACAGAAAAUCAAGUGGAGCUUAUCUGAUGUGUCACCGUCCAUCUACAGAGACACUGAAUGGACUAACUCAGAAACUGUGCAUACGAAUACUUUCGUAACUUUUGCCUGCUACAGGAAAUAUAUCUUCUCUUUAAAUCACACGUCCUGUGUUUUCUUUUGACAGUCGACCAAAUUGCUACAUUUUAUAUUUGGUUAAAGCAACGAGUAAGCAGUUCUACCGGUGACGCACAGCUGCCGGCUACACGACGCAAGAGCCGCAGACUGUGAACAACAGCCCACGUUAGCUUUGCUGCUUAAGCCUCCUCCUCCUUAUCCAACUUCCAAACAUGAACACACAUCUUGUCC